AACGGCCGUACCACGCUGAAUAGACCGGUUCUCGUUAGAUCACCGAAGUCAAGCAUCAUUGGGCGAGCUCAGUGCUUGGGUGGGUGAACAC
rnacentral:rRNA from 1 species